UGAUGGAGGGGGAUAACUACUGGAAACGGUAGCUAAUACCGCAUAACGUCGCAAGACCAAAGUGGGGGACCUUCGGGCCUCAUGCCAUCAGAUGUGCCCAGAUGGGAUUAGCUAGUAGGUGGGGUAACGGCUCACCUAGGCGACGAUCCCUAGCUGGUCUGAGAGGAUGACCAGCCACACUGGAACUGAGACACGGUCCAGACUCCUACGGGAGGCAGCAGUGGGGAAUAUUGCACAAUGG
rnacentral:rRNA from 1 species